CGAAAAUUGAUCGGCUCUGAGUAUACCCAUCGUUGUCGGCAAUAAAAUUUGAAUGCAUGGAAAGGAUACGAUGGCCCGGUCGGUCGACGAACAAUACGAAGAUCCGGCAUGCUCAAUCGUGGGACAGAGUAUAGUAUCUAUAGCCGUGGUUACCACAUGGUGAAAAGUUGAAUACAACUCAACUUUUUGGUAUACUCGGUAUCUACCAAACCGUUCAGCUAAUCAGCUAAUCAGAAUACGUAGAUUUCAAUUCACUUUUAUUUUUAAAAGAUGUAGUAAAUAAUAAUACCAAGUAAAUUAUAUUGGAUCUCGUCGAUUAUUAUGAUUUAAUAUUAAACCUAUCAAAUUCUUACUGUUUAUACUUUAUUUCAGAAUGUCUUCAAAUUUGAUAUAACCAAAAACAUUACAAACAAUAUUACAGAUUGGUCUUCUAAUUCUGGUCCAGUAUAUUCAAAGUCUAGUAAAAG